CGACGAUCUGUAGCUGGUCUGAGAGGAUGAUCAGCCACACUGGGACUGAGACACGGCCCAGACUCCUACGGGAGGCAGCAGUGGGGAAUAUUGGACAAUGGGCGAAAGCCUGAUCCAGCCAUGCCGCGUGUGUGAAGAAGGCCUUUUGGUUGUAAAGCACUUUAAGUGGGGAGGAAAAGCUUAUGGUUAAUACCCAUAAGCCCUGACGUUACCCACAGAAUAAGCACCGGCUAACUCUGUGCCAGCAGCCGCGGUAAUACAGAGGGUGCAAGCGUUAAUCGGAAUUACUGGGCGUAAAGCGCGCGUAGGUGGUUAUUUAAGUCAGAUGUGAAAGCCCCGGGCUUAACCUGGGAACUGCAUCUGAUACUGGAUAACUAGAGUAGGUGAGAGGGGAGUAGAAUUCCAGGUGUAGCGGUGAAAUGCGUAGAGAUCUGGAGGAAUACCGAUGGCGAAGGCAGCUCCCUGGCAUCAUACUGACACUGAGGUGCGAAAGCGUGGGUAGCAAACAGGAUUAGAUACCCUGGUAGUCCACGCCGUAAACGAUGUCUACCAGUCGUUGGGUCUUUUAAAGACUUAGUGACGCAGUUAACGCAAUAAGUAGACCGCC
rnacentral:rRNA from 1 species